UACGUAUGGUGCAAGCGUUAUCCGGAUUUACUGGGUGUAAAGGGAGCGCAGGCGGCGCGCCAAGUCUGAUGUGAAAGCCCGGGGCUCAACCCCGGGACUGCAUUGGAAACUGGUGAGCUAGAGUGUCGGAGAGGUAAGUGGAAUUCCUAGUGUAGCGGUGAAAUGCGUAGAUAUUAGGAGGAACACCAGUGGCGAAGGCGGCUUACUGGACGACAACUGACGCUGAGGCUCGAAAGCGUGGGGAGCAAACAGG
rnacentral:rRNA from 1 species